rnacentral:rRNA from 1 species
AUUGAACGCUGGCGGCAGGCCUAACACAUGCAAGUCGAACGAGUGGCGGACGGGUGAGUAAUGUCUGGGAAACUGCCCGAUGGAGGGGGGUAACUACUGGAAACGGUAGCUAAUACCGCAUACCAUCGGAUGUGCCCAGGUGGGAUUAGCUAGUGGGUGGGGUAACGGCUCACCUAGGCGACGAUCCCUAGCUGGUCUGAGAGGAUGACCAGCCACACUGGGACUGAGACACGGUCCAGACUCCUACGGGAGGCAGCAGUGGGGAAUAUUGCACAAUGGGGGCAAGCCUGAUGCAGCCAUGCCGCGUGUAUGAAGAAGGCCUUCGGGUUGUAAAGUUCUUUCAGCGGGGAGGCGUUACUCGCAGAAGAAGCACCGGCUAACUCCGUGCCAGCAGCCGCGGUAAUUC